UACAGAGGGUGCGAGCGUUGUUCGGAAUUAUUGGGCGUAAAGGGCGCGUAGGCGGUGCCACAAGUCACCUGUGAAAUCUCCGGGCUUAACUCGGAGCCUGCAGGCGAAACUGUGGUGCUGGAGUGUGGGAGAGGUGCGUGGAAUUUCCGGUGUAGCGGCGAAAUGCGUAGAUAUCGGAAGGAACACCUGUGGCGAAAGCGGCUCACUGGACCAUUACUGACGCUGAGGCACGAAAGCUAGGGGAGCAAACAGG
rnacentral:rRNA from 1 species